UUUUUUUUGUUUUCUUUGCUUCACAGCUCUUGCUUGGUGGGCAGUUAAAUUGAGAACAACAUGGUACCUUCACAUCAACAGAUGGAACAGCAGAUCCCACUCAUGGCUCUUGGAAAUGGAUCAUCCUUUCAUGCGGUCUGGUACUUCUGUUCUUCAUUCCUCUCACUGUUUGGUUAGUUCGUCACUACAGGUACCAGAUGUUUUGCACUCGUAGUUGCUGGCCAGUUUCCAAAGAAGCCCUGCCGGCCAUGGAGCUUCCUGCAACCAAGCAGGAUGCAACGGAAGUGCAGUGGGAUUUAUCCUGGAUGGAAAUGUCAAAUCUGCUGGAUAAGCAGUUAUAUCCUGGCACUUAAAGGGUAACUCUUACAUGCAGUAUACAGGAACCACUAAGUGGAGUGCCAUAUGAGAUGCUUCAGAGUGCUGCUAUGGAUGUAUGAACAAUUUGUAGCAAAUGAAGAUCACAGAAAGGCCCCAGUGUGUGCCACAAGGGUCUGUUACUGGUAAAUUUAUCUAAACUACCUGCCUAUGAUUUGUAUUUGUAUUUUCUCUGUUCACUGAUGAUACAAGACUUUUGUACACUAAUACAAAAUGCUAAUACAGAGAUGAUGUAAACUUUGAAAUGGUUAGCUGAGCAAACUUACUAAUAAUAUUAAAAAGACAAGCUUCGUAAUUUACAAAAAAUACUCCAAAGACUGAACAAAUAUUACAUAUUUAUAAAUAGUCUCUUUCAUGAGUUAUAAUAUUAUAUACUGUAUAUUAACUGUUGUUAAUUGUUAGGGGUGCUACUAACUCCUUAACAAGAUACUUUAAAUUCAGAAAAAUCAUAUCACUGACAUAAUUUCAAGUAACUAUGACUGUCAAGUGUUUAGGAAAUAUAAUAAAUAAGCAUAUGUUUUUAUGU